CCAAUAGCGUAUAUUAAAGUUGUUGCAGUUAAAAAGCUCGUAGUUGAAUUUCGGGAUUUGUCAGUUGGUCGGGCUUCACUGUCCGUACUGGCUUGAUGGAUUCUUACCUUCUGAAUAACCAGCAUGCUAUUAAGUUAGUGCGUUGGGGAAGCAGAUCUAUUACCUUGAAAAAAUUAGUGUGCUUAAAGCGGGCUUGUGCUUGAAUAGAUUAGCAUGGAAUAAUAAAAUCGGACGGGAUGGUUCUAUUUUGUUGGUUUAUAGGAUCACCGUAAUGAUUAAUAGGGAUAGUUGGGGGCAUUAGUAUUCAAUUGUCAGAGGUGAAAUUCUUGGAUUUAUUGAAGACUAACUUCUGCGAAAGCAUUUGCCAAGGAUGUUUUCAUUAAUCAAGAACGAAAGUUAGGUGAUCGAAGACGAUCAGAUACCGUCGUAGUCUUAACCAUAAACUAUGCCGACUAGGAAUCGGACGAUGUUAAUUUUAUAAUGACUCGUUCGGCACCUUACG
rnacentral:rRNA from 1 species